UUGCGGGGGGAUUAGUGGCGAACGGGUGAGUAACACGUGAGUAACCUGCCCUUAACUCUGGGAUAAGCCUUGGAAACGGGGUCUAAUACUGGAUAUUGACUUUACCUCGCAUGGGGUUUGGUUGAAAGAUUUAUUGGUUUUGGAUGGACUCGCGGCCUAUCAGCUUGUUGGUGAGGUAAUGGCUCACCAAGGCGACGACGGGUAGCCGGCCUGAGAGGGUGACCGGCCACACUGGGACUGAGACACGGCCCAGACUCCUACGGGAGGCAGCAGUGGGGAAUAUUGACAAUGGGCGAAAGCCUGAUGCAGCGACGCCGCGUGAGGGAUGACGGCCUUCGGGUUGUAAACCUCUUUCAGUAGGGAACAAGGCCAGCAUUUUUGUUGGUUGAGGGUACUUGCAGAAGAAGCGCCGGCUAACUACGUGCCAGCAGCCGGGGUAAUACGUAGGGCGCAAGCGUUAUCCGGAAUUAUUGGGCGUAAAGAGCUCGUAGGCGGUUUGUCGCGUCUGCCGUGAAAGUCCGGGGCUCAACUCCGGAUCUGCGGUGGGUACGGGCAGACUAGAGUGAUGUAGGGGAGACUGGAAUUCCUGGUGUAGCGGUGAAAUGCGCAGAUAUCAGGAGGAACACCGAUGGCGAAGGCAGGUCUCUGGGCAUUAACUGACGCUGAGGAGCGAAAGCAUGGGGAGCGAACAGGAUUAGAUACCCUGGUAGUCCAUGCCGUAAACGUUGGGCACUAGGUGUGGGGGACAUUCCACGUUUUCCGCGCCGUAGCUAACGCAUUAAGUGCCCCGCCUGGGGAGUACGGCCGCAAGGCUAAAACUCAAAGGAAUUGACGGGGGCCCGCACAAGCGGCGGAGCAUGCGGAUUAAUUCGAUGCAACGCGAAGAACCUUACCAAGGCUUGACAUGAACUGGAAAUACCUGGAAACAGGUGCCCCGCUUGCGGUCGGUUUACAGGUGGUGCAUGGUUGUCGUCAGCUCGUGUCGUGAGAUGUUGGGUUAAGUCCCGCAACGAGCGCAACCCUCGUUCUAUGUUGCCAGCACGUUAUGGUGGGGACUCAUAGGAGACUGCCGGGGUCAACUCGGAGGAAGGUGAGGACGACGUCAAAUCAUCAUGCCCCUUAUGUCUUGGGCUUCACGCAUGCUACAAUGGCCGGUACAAUGGGUUGCGAUACUGUGAGGUGGAGCUAAUCCCAAAAAGCCGGUGAUCAGUUCGGAUUGGGGUCUGCAACUCGACCCCAUGAAGUCGGAGUCGCUAGUAAUCGCAGAUCAGCAACGCUGCGGUGAAUACGUUCCCGGGCCUUGUACACACCGCCCGUCAAGUCACGAAAGUUGGUAACACCCGAAGCCGGUGGCCUAACCCCC
rnacentral:rRNA from 1 species